ACAGAGGUCUCAAGCGUUGUUCGGAUUCAUUGGGCGUAAAGGGUGCGUAGGUGGCGGGGCAAGUCUGGUGUGAAAUCCCGGGGCUCAACCUCGGAAUUGCAUUCAAUACUGCUUCGCUCGAGUACUGGAGAGGAGGCUGGAAUUUACGGUGUAGCAGUGAAAUGCGUAGAUAUCGUAAGGAAGGCCGGUGGCGAAAGCGAGCCUCUGGACAGUUACUGACGCUGAUGCACGAAGGCCAGGGGAGCAAACGGGA
rnacentral:rRNA from 1 species